rnacentral:rRNA from 1 species
GAUGAACGCUGGCGGCGUGCCUAAUACAUGCAAGUCGAGCGAAUGGAUUAAGAGCUUGCUCUUAUGAAGUUAGCGGCGGACGGGUGAGUAACACGUGGGUAACCUGCCCAUAAGACUGGGAUAACUCCGGGAAACCGGGGCUAAUACCGGAUAACAUUUUGAACCGCAUGGUUCGAAAUUGAAAGGCGGCUUCGGCCGUCAUUUAUGGAUGGACCCGCGUCGCAUUAGCUAGUUGGUGAGGUAACGGCUCACCAAGGCAACGAUGCGUAGCCGACCUGAGAGGGUGAUCGGCCACACUGGGACUGAGACACGGCCCAGACUCCUACGGGAGGCAGCAGUAGGGAAUCUUCCGCAAUGGACGAAAGUCUGACGGAGCAACGCCGCGUGAGUGAUGAAGGCUUUCGGGUCGUAAAACUCUGUUGUUAGGGAAGAACAAGUGCUAGUUGAAUAAGCUGGCACCUUGACGGUACCUAACCAGAAAGCCACGGCUAACUACGUGCCAGCAGCCGCAGUAA